CUACGGGCGGCACCAGUGAGGAAUAUUGCGCAAUGGGGGGAACCCUGAUGCAGCAACGCCGCGUGGAGGAUGACGCAUUUCGGUGUGUAAACUCCUUUUAUAUGUCAAGAAAAUGACGGUAGCAUAUGAAUAAGCACCGGCUAACUCCGUGCCAGCAGCCGCGGUAAUACGGAGGGUGCAAGCGUUACUCGGAAUCACUGGGCGUAAAGGACGCGUAGGCGGGUUGGAAAGUCAGGUGUGAAAUCCUACAGCUUAACUGUAGAACUGCACUUGAAACUUCUAAUCUAGAGUAUGGGAGGGGGAGAUGGAAUUAGUGGUGUAGGGGUAAAAUCCGUAGAUAUCACUAGGAAUACCUAAAGCGAAGGCGAUCUCCUGGAACAUUACUGACGCUAAGGCGUGAAAGCGUGGGGAGCAAACAGGAUUAGAUACCCUAGUUAGUC
rnacentral:rRNA from 1 species